UCUUGCGGUACGACGACCUUGCGUCUCGUGCGCAGGAAGCAUUGUCUGUCUCUUCCUGUGAGAGCUUCCCUCAAAUGACCUCCAAGUGUGUGUGUGAGCACGGGCAGAAAAUAUCUCGGUGUGCGGUGCUGCAAACCAGUUAAUGAGACCAAAUUAUUUUUACAUAUCAAUGCUACUAAACUACUCUUUUAUUAGGCCCCGAACUCUGACCAAUAAGGGAAUAACGUCAGUCGAGUUAUUUUGUGUUGGAAAUUCCCGGAAGGAUUCUGGAGAACCACUGAUGGCGAGCCCAGUCCAAAAGAGAUCCUGGAUGAUGGUGAAAUGGUGUGACCAGCCAUGCGAUCGGAUUAUGGGAAUUGCCAGAAGAACUGAUUCAAGCCCUACCUUGAAUUUCAGAUAAGCCUAAGCACUCCGGGUCGCGGGGGCAGCAGCCUAAGCAGAGAACCCAGACCUCCCUCUCCCCAGCCACC